rnacentral:miRNA from 1 species
UAGAGGCAACAUAACCGAGAA